AACGAACGCUGGCGGCAGGCUUAACACAUGCAAGUCGAGCGCCCCGCAAGGGGAGCGGCAGACGGGUGAGUAACGCGUGGGAACGUACCCUUUUCUACGGAAUAACCCAGGGAAACUUGGACUAAUACCGUAUACGCCCUUCGGGGGAAAGAUUUAUCGGAGAAGGAUCGGCCCGCGUUGGAUUAGCUAGUUGGUGGGGUAAAGGCCUACCAAGGCGACGAUCCAUAGCUGGUCUGAGAGGAUGAUCAGCCACAUUGGGACUGAGACACGGCCCAAACUCCUACGGGAGGCAGCAGUGGGGAAUAUUGGACAAUGGGCGCAAGCCUGAUCCAGCCAUGCCGCGUGAGUGAUGAAGGCCUUAGGGUUGUAAAGCUCUUUCACCGGGGAAGAUAAUGACGGUACCCGGAGAAGAAGCCCCGGCUAACUUCGUGCCAGCCGCCGCAGUAA
rnacentral:rRNA from 1 species